AAAAAAAAAAAAAAAAAAAAAAGAAAGAAAGAAAGAAAGGGACGGGAGGUGGACAACAGAAAUCUGCCGAGUGCCAGCCAGAUGAGGCCAAAGAGAUAGAGUGGCAGGCUGAGCGGAGACACGGGGGAGGGAAGGAGGCAGGAAAAACUGGGGCAAGGAGAAGGGAGGACAGGGUUAGUGCAGGCGCCAUCAGAGCUUGGCAUGCGUGUGCGGGUGCGCGUGUGAGUUGUGGGGUGUUGGGAGGUGGUGGUGUCUCCCGGGCCAGGAGAAGAUGUGAGAACAGUUUGUUCCCAGGUUCCCUCCCCCCUUGGCCCGGGUUGGUGGGGGGAGGGCUGGGCUGGAUGGGGCCCCGCCGAGGGCGGAGAGCGAGGAGGUCUGCGCGAGCGGCUGAUUCUCCACCGGAUAUAGGCGCACAUCUUUCAGAAGACUUUUUUUCUGGGGUGGGGGCAGGAGUGACGAUGCCCCUGGUCGCCGGAGGCAGCCCCAGGGCUCCAGAUUUCAAGCUGCCCUGACCUCCUCCCUGCUGCCGGGAGGGCCAGGGAGAACCCGGCCGUGCUGCGACGCUCCUGUGUGGAAGAGAGGGAAGCGGAUCUCACUGGCACCCUCCGCCCGGUGCUCUGCAUCCCCAGGGCAGGCAACAGGCGGGGCCGGCGUGGGGCCCGGCGUGGUGGCCAGCGCAGGCUGCCCUGGAGCGGUGCGGAGCAGGACCCGCCAGCCUCCGCUGGGAUCAGAGGUGCGGACGACCGCGCUCUGCCAGGCUUUUUUUAACAACUUAAAAUGUACCAGAAGAGGGCACUGGGUCCCCCGGGUCUGGAGUCGGCUGUCGGCUGCCCUGUGAGUGAGUGCUGGGCAUCGACCUGGGAACCCUCUGGAAGGGCAACCAGUGCCCCUAACCACGGCGCCACCUUUAGCCCGGAAGUUUUUUUUUUUUUUUUUCCAAGGGCUUUUUAAUCAUUUUCUUGGGGAUGGCACAAGCUGGCCUCAACCUUGCUCUGGAGCGGAGAUGGCCGUGAACUCCUGACGCCCUUCGCCUCCUGAGGCUGAGAUUACAGAUGUACAUCAACCAAACGGCCUUUUUGUUUUGUUUUGUUUUGUUUUUGAGGCAGCUCUGCUGUCACCCGGGCCUUGAGCCCUCAGGGAUCCUCCUGCCCCAGACUCAGGGUGCAGAGAUCAUUGUGCCUGGCAAAAGCAGACCCCCCUCUUAAAAUGGGGUCUCAGGGUGCACCCCCGGCUGGCCCAGAAGGCCGAGAUCACCCACCUUGCCUCCUGAGUGCUGGGAUUAAAGGCUUGUGUUGCCAAGCCCACCUUGUAGAUCUAACUUUUUAACUUCGGCACAUUCUAACCCCCGGGGGCGAGAUUGCUGCUGUCUGCAUGCCGAGGGAAGGCUGCGAGGCUGGCGUGUGUGCGGUGUGGCCGGGCUGUGACAGGAGCUCGGGAGGAAGGAGUCGGCGCAAUUCCAGGCGCCGUGACAGCACACCAGCCAUCUCUAUGAAAUGUUUAUUUCCUUUGAAACCUCCUGAAACAUGCCAGAAAUCUCAAGACGGGGAUGGGAAGAAGGGGAGGAAAAAAAAAACAAUAAAGAAUGAUAAAAAAUCCAAAUGGAACAAAUCAACAUGGAGAAAAAAAUAAAAAUAAAAGCCUGCUGCUAUCUCCAGCCAUCAGACAGAACAUCAACCUCAAAUUAAAUAGAUUUUUGCAGAAAUUCUUACAAAAAUAAUAGAACAAAACCAAAAAUUAUAAUUUACAAUUGUCAAUGUACA